rnacentral:rRNA from 1 species
AUUGAACGCUGGCGGCAGGCUUAACACAUGCAAGUCGAACGAGUGGCGUGCGGGUGAGCAAUGCUUGGGAAUCUGGCUUAUGGAGGGGGAUAACGACGGGAAACUGUCGCUAAUACCGCGUACCAUAGGAUGAGCCCAAGUGGGAUUAGGUAGUUGGUGGGGUAAUAGCCUACCAAGCCGACGAUCUCUAACUGGUCUGAGAGGAUGACCAGCGAGACCGGAACUGAGACACGGCCCGGACUCCUACGGGAGGCAGCAGUGGGGAAUAGUGGGCAAUGUGGGCAAUCUGACGCAACCAUGCCGCGUGUAGGAAGAAGGCCUUCGGGUUGUAAAGUUCUUUAGGUGGUGAGGCGUUAACCACAGAAGAAGCACCGGCUAACUCCGUGCCAGCAGCCGCGGUAAUAC